rnacentral:rRNA from 1 species
UACGUAGGGGGCGAGCGUUGUCCGGAAUUACUGGGCGUAAAGGGUGCGUAGGCGGUAAUUUAAGUCAGAUGUGAAAUCCCCGGGCUCAACCUGGGUAUUGCAUUUGAAACUGGGUUGCUAGAGUGCAGGAGAGGGAAGCGGAAUUCCUAGUGUAGCGGUGAAAUGCGUAGAUAUUAGGAGGAACACCGGUGGCGAAGGCGGCUUUCUGGACUGUAACUGACACUGAGGCACGAAAGCGUGGGGAGCAAACAGG